GUGCUUUUUCAGCAGCACAUACACUAAAAUUGGAAUGAUACAGAGAAGAUUUGCAUGGCCCCUACGCCAAGAUGACAUGUAAAUUCAUAAAGUGUUCCAUAUUUUU